rnacentral:rRNA from 1 species
UUCUGACCGUAAACGAUGCCAACUAGCGAUCCGCCGGUGGCUACCAGGCCCUGGUGGGGAGCUUCCCGGAAACGAAAGUCUUCCGGUUCCGGGGGAAGUAUGGUUGCAAAGCUGAAACUUAAAGGAAUUGACGGAAGGGCACCACCAGGAGUGGAGCCUGCGGCUUAAUUUGACUCAACACGGGAAAACUCACCCGGCCCGGACACCGUAAAGAUUGACAGAUUGAUAGCUUUUUCAUGAUUCGGUGGUUGGUGGUGCAUGGCCGUUCUUAGUUCGUGGAUCGAUUUGUCUGGUUUAUUCCGAUAACGAGCGAGACUCCAGCCUACUAACUAGUACGAGCAUUGCCUCUGUGCUCGGCACUUCUUAGAGGGAUUGACUGCGUCUAGCGGUACGAAACGGAGCAAUAACAGGUCUGUGAUGCCCUUAGAUGUCCGGGGCUGCACGCGCGCUACACUGGCAAAGGCAACGUGCUUGUCUGUCUCCGAAAGGAGCCGGUAAACCCUUGAAAAUUUGCCGUGAUUGGGAUCGGAAAUUGCAAUUAUUUUCCGUGAACGAGGAAUUCCUAGUAAGUGCGAGUCAUCAGCUCGCGUUG